rnacentral:rRNA from 1 species
CUACGGGCGGCAGCAGUGGGGAAUAUUGCACAAUGGAGGAAACUCUGAUGCAGCAACGCCGCGUGGAGGAUGACACUUUUCGGAGCGUAAACUCCUUUUAUAUAGGAAGAAGAUGACGGUACUAUAUGAUUAAGCGCCGGCUAACUCCGUGCCAGCAGCCGCGGUAAUACGGAGGGCGCAAGCGUUACUCGGAAUCACUGGGCGUAAAGAGCGUGUAGGCGGAUUAAAAAGUCAGAAGUGAAAUCCUAUAGCUUAACUAUAGAACUGCUUCUGAAACUCUUAAUCUAGAAUAUGGGAGAGGUAGAUGGAAUUUCUGGUGUAGGGGUAAAAUCCGUAGAGAUCAGAAGGAAUACCGAUUGCGAAGGCGAUCUACUAGAACAUUAUUGACGCUGAGACGCGAAAGCGUGGGGAGCGAACAGGAUUAGAUACCCUCGUAGUC